rnacentral:rRNA from 1 species
GGGGGGGGGGGGGGGCGGGGGGGGGGGGGGCGGGGCGGGCGGGGGGGGCGGGGCGAGGGGCGCACGGGGGGGUGGCGCGGGGGGACCUGCCCUUGGGUUCGGGAUAACGCCCCGAGAGGGGUGCUACUACCGGAUAAUGUCUUCGGACCAAAGAUUUAUCGCCUUUGGAUGGGCCCGCGUUGGAUUAGCUAGUUGGUAGGGUAAAAGCCUACCAAGGCGACGAUCCAUAGCUGGUCUGAGAGGAUGAUCAGCCACACUGGGACUGAGACACGGCCCAGACUCCUACGGGAGGCAGCAGUGGGGAAUAUUGGACAAUGGGCGAAAGCCUGAUCCAGCAAUGCCGCGUGAGUGAUGAAGGCCUUAGGGUUGUAAAGCUCUUUUACCCGGGAUGAUAAUGACAGUACCGGGAGAAUAAGCGCCGGCUAACUCCGUG